UACAUGGGGUGCAAACGUUGCUCGGAAUUAUUGGGCGUAAAGCGCACGUAGGCGGUUCGUUAAGUCGGAUGUGAAAGCCCUCGGCUCAACUGAGGAAGUGCACCCGAAACCACCCAGCUAGAGUCUCGGAGAGGAAGGCGGAAUGCUUGGUGUAGAGGUGAAAUUCGUAGAUAUCAAGCGGAACACCGGUGGCGAAGGCGGCCUUCUGGACGAUGACUGACGCUGAGACGCGAAAGCGUGGGGAGCAAACAGG
rnacentral:rRNA from 1 species